rnacentral:rRNA from 1 species
AACGCUGGCGGCGUGCCUAAUACAUGCAAGUCGAGCGGACAGAUGGGAGCUUGCUCCCUGAUGUUAGCGGCGGACGGGUGAGUAACACGUGGGUAACCUGCCUGUAAGACUGGGAUAACUCCGGGAAACCGGGGCUAAUACCGGAUGGUUGUUUGAAYCGCAUGGUUCAAACAUAAAAGGUGGCUUCGGCUACCACUUACAGAUGGACCCGCGGCGCAUUAGCUAGUUGGUGAGGUAAYGGCUCACCAAGGCRACGAUGCGUAGCCGACCUGAGAGGGUGAUCGGCCACACUGGGACUGAGACACGGCCCAGACUCCUACGGGAGGCAGCAGUAGGGAAUCUUCCGCAAUGGACGAAAGUCUGACGGAGCAACGCCGCGUGAGUGAUGAAGGUUUUCGGAUCGUAAAGCUCUGUUGUUAGGGAAGAACAAGUACCGUUCGAAUAGGGCGGUACCUUGACGGUACCUAACCAGAAAGCCACGGCUAACUACGUGCCAGCAGCCGCGGUAAUACGUAGGUGGCAAGCGUUGUCCGGAAUUAUUGGGCGUAAAGGGCUCGCAGGCGGUUUCUUAAGUCUGAUGUGAAAGCCCCCGGCUCAACCGGGGAGGGUCAUUGGAAACUGGGGAACUUGAGUGCAGAAGAGGAGAGUGGAAUUCCACGUGUAGCGGUGAAAUGCGUAGAGAUGUGGAGGAACACCAGUGGCGAAGGCGACUCUCUGGUCUGUAACUGACCGCUGAGGAGCGAAAGCGUGGGGAGCGAACAGGAUUAGAUACCCUGGUAGUCCACGCCGUAAACGAUGAGUGCUAAGUGUUAGGGGGUUUCCGCCCCUUAGUGCUGCAGCUAACGCAUUAAGCACUCCGCCUGGGGAGUACGGUCGCAAGACUGAAACUCAAAGGAAUUGACGGGGGCCCGCACAAGCGGUGGAGCAUGUGGUUUAAUUCGAAGCAACGCGAAGAACCUUACCAGGUCUUGACAUCCUCUGACAAUCCUAGAGAUAGGACGUCCCCUUCGGGGGCAGAGUGACAGGUGGUGCAUGGUUGUCGUCAGCUCGUGUCGUGAGAUGUUGGGUUAAGUCCCGCAACGAGCGCAACCCUUGAUCUUAGUUGCCAGCAUUCAGUUGGGCACUCUAAGGUGACUGCCGGUGACAAACCGGAGGAAGGUGGGGAUGACGUCAAAUCAUCAUGCCCCUUAUGACCUGGGCUACACACGUGCUACAAUGGACAGAACAAAGGGCAGCGAAACCGCGAGGUUAAGCCAAUCCCACAAAUCUGUUCUCAGUUCGGAUCGCAGUCUGCAACUCGACUGCGUGAAGCUGGAAUCGCUAGUAAUCGCGGAUC